GUUGACCCCUUGUGUCUGUACUUCUAAUGGGCCCACAAAAUUUUUAUCAUGAUCGUUCGAUUCUCCAGAUAUACAUUGGUCAUCAAAAUUUUCUCCUUACUUCCUACCUCAUUGUGUGUUCAGGAAAAAAGAGUGGUGCAGAUGCUAAGAUAUACCCUGUAUAGAAAAACUUUAAAGAAUAUACAUAAUGGCUAUGCUAAGACAAAAGUUUACAGGAAACCAACUUAUGAACAGGUGUUUAUACUGAACUGGUGCCAUGACCUAGUCAGUUAUAAAAAAGCUGCAUUUAGAAGUUUCUAUAGGAGAUCCCUAAUGUAUUGUACAGAUGAAAAAGAUUUAAA
rnacentral:lncRNA from 1 species